rnacentral:rRNA from 1 species
ACUUACGGACAUACCAUCCUGAAUACGCCCGAUCUUGUCUGAUCUCGGAAGCUAAGCAGUGUCGGGCCUGGUUAGUACUUGGAUGGGAGACGGCGUGGGAAUACCAGGUGCUGUAAGUG